ACGCUGGCGGCGUGCCUAAUACAUGCAAGUCGAACGGUCUUUUCUAUGGAAGCUUGCUUCCACUGAGAAGAUAGUGGCGAACGGGUGAGUAACACGUGGGUAACCUGCCCAUAAGAGGGGGAUAACAUCCGGAAACGGGUGCUAAUACCGCAUAGUUUUUCUUGAUCGCAUGAUUGAGAAAGGAAAGACGGCCUUUGUGCUGUCGCUUAUGGAUGGACCCGCGGCGUAUUAGUUAGUUGGUGAGGUAACGGCUCACCAAGACGAUGAUACGUAGCCGACCUGAGAGGGUGAUCGGCCACAUUGGGACUGAGACACGGCCCAAACUCCUACGGGAGGCAGCAGUAGGGAAUCUUCCGCAAUGGACGAAAGUCUGACGGAGCAACGCCGCGUGAGUGAAGAAAGGUUUUCGGAUCGUAAAACUCUGUUGUCAGAGAAGAACAAGUUGGAGAGUAACUGCUCCAGCCUUGACGGUAUCUGACCAGAAAGCCACGGCUAACUACGUGCCAGCCGCUGC
rnacentral:rRNA from 1 species